AAGGGAAAAAUAACAACUAAAAAUCUUCAUACUAAAGAACAUAUUUCACUCGAGCUUCAUACAUUAAUGAUCAUUGAAAUGUACCUGUAAUUAAGUAGAGAAUGGAAACCUAUGAGUAAAUGCAAUUAAUCACCCAAGCAAACAAUAGCCAAUCGAACAGUACACCCAGGUUUUCAGCAGAGUUUUGAGAAAAUUAAAAUCCCAAAAAGAAUAAGAACAACACUGAUAGUUUCUCAUAGAUAUAGGAAGAACCAAUGUGUAUUAUUCUUUCUAGAAUUCAAUAGAAAAGUUCCAGAUCCUUUAAAAAAUGCUAAGAUGAUUUCUUUUAUAAUGGAGCCUUUGGGCACCAUUUUUCCUUUGUUUUUUUCCUUUUAGUCCCUGAGUUAGUUUUCAGCUUUUCUUAAAUGAUCCUUCAUUUCCUGACUUGUGCCUCAAGUUUGAGGAAGAAAUUAUGUUUUAAUCCCUCACUAGAAUGUUCUAGGGGGUUAUCACCAGAUUCCUUUAAGGUUCAAAUUCCCAUUAUACCAUAUUUCUUUCUUAAAUAACCAACCUGAAAUUUUAACCUUAGUUAUUCCCUAACCCUGGUCGAUUGUGUUUGGGUUAUGGGCCAAGGUUUGGUCUGGAUUAACAGGUCCAUUGGAUCUAUAAAACUAAGUGUCCUAAUAUGGAUUGUCUUAUCAGUUAUUAUAUCUUAGGAUCAUAAAUAUUCAGGUAUCUUUAUAUUAAAACCAAUGGAUCACUAUCAACCAAAAAACCAAUCAACUAAUACUCAUUAUACGAAAAUCCUAAUUAAAUCACUCAACAAAAGCUUGAACGCAGGGAUUGAACACUUAGUUCAUGAACAAAAUUAGGGAGCAAUUAAAGGUUCAACCAAACAAAUCAGCCAAAAGUAUGCCAGUAUUGAAGAUAAAAAAUUACUAUGAAAAUCAAACACUUAGUAGAAUAAACGCCUAACCAAACUAAUCAAAAUAUCAGGGAAUAAAACAAAUGAAGAUCAUGAGAUGAAGGUCAACAAAAAAAAGAAAUCACAUUACUGCAGAAUCAACAAAAUAGGCUUUCAGGUUCAAGGAGCUAAUAUUAACAGGAUAUCAAAUCAUUCAAGAGAAGAAGGGAUUUCAAACUAAUAACAACCAAAAGCAUAUAACUAAUGAACCUAUUUCAUAUGAGAUUGUGGAAAAACAAACAAGAAAUCAAAGAAUCUAACAAUUAGCAAAAUGAAGCAAAUAUAUACGAGGAAAGACAGAGUACUUAGCUUUUGAUUUACACAUGCAAAUCCACUUGAGACCAUUUCGUUGGUUUCUGACCCCUUCUGUAGAGGUCUCAAGAAACGUAUUUUGGACUGAUGAGUUUGAGGGGUUCAGGACUGGGGUUCUGGUGAUUUUGAGACUCAUGUGAGGUCUCAGAUUUGAGUUUUCUCGGUGAUUGGUGGUAUUUGGGGGCUGUGUGGGGUAUGGUUUGGGAAAGAAAUAGACGGGGACUGUCUAAGAUGAACUUGACCAAAUUCCAACAGGUUUAAUUUUUAGGGUUAAACUUCAACUUAAUAUUCGAAACGUUUUGAAUGGAUUUGAAGGGUGUAAAACACAUGGUUGGAAAGAGAGAGGUUUGAGUUGUUUCAACGGUUUAAGUUUGGAGGGGUUUGGAGUUGAGUCGCUGGAGUGGGGGGUUCCGACGGCCUUUCUGUGAAGAUUUGAGAUAAUGGGGGGUCGUUUGAAAGAAAUGGAUUGCAGGAUGGGGAAGGGGAGGUUCUGAUGGUCCUACGGUGUAAUGUUGGGGAGGUUUGGAAAGGGUCGCUAGAGACGGUGGUUCCGAAGACCUUAUUUUUAAUAUUCAAGACGGAGGAGACUUAUUCGAUGGAAACUAAUCACAUGACGGGAAAGAAGAGGUUGUGAUGGUUUUAUGGUGUAAACGCCUAACAAAACUAAUCAGAAUAUCAGGGAAUAAAAUAAAUGAAGAUCAUGAGAUGAAGGUCAAAAAAACACAGAAAUCACACUACUGAAGAAUCAACAAAAUAGGCUUUCAUAAUCAAGGAGCUAAUAUUGAUAGGAUAUCAAAUCAUUUUGACGAAGGGAUUUCAAACUAAUAACAACCAAAUACAUAUAACUACUGAACCUAUUUCAUAUGAGAUUGUGGAAAAACAAACAAGAAAUCAAAGCAUCUAACAAAUAGCAAAAAUGAAGCAAAUAUAUACAAGCAAAGACAGAGUACAUAGCUUUUGUUUUACACAUGCAAAUCCACUUGAGACAAUUUUGUUGGUUCCGAACCCCUUCUGCAGAGGUUUCUAUCAACUUACUAAUGGGUUCUAGGGGUUCAGGAUUGGGGUUCUGGUGAUUCUGAGACCCUGUGAGGUCUCAGAUUUGAGUUUUCUCGGUGAUUGGUGGUAUUUGAGGGCUGUGUGGGUUAUGGUUGGGGAAAGAAAUAGACGAGGACCGUCUGAGAUGAACUUGACCAAAUUCCGACAGGGUUGAGUUUUAGGGUUAAACUUCAACUUAAUAUUCGGAACGUUUUGAAUAGAUUCGAAGGGUGUAACAAACAUGGUUGGAAAAAGGAGGUUGAGUUGUAUCAGGGGUGUAAGUUUGGAGGGGUUUGGAGUUGAGUAGCAGGAGAUGGGGGGUUCCGACGGCCUUUCUGUGAAGAUUUGAGACGAUGUGGGGUCGUUUGAAAGAAAUGGAUUGCAGGAUGGGGAAGGGGAGGUUCGGAUGGUCCUACGGUGUAAAGUUGGGGGGGUUUGGAAUGGGUUCGCCGCAGACGGUGGUUGCGAUGACCUUAUUUUGAAUAUUCGAGACGGGGGAGACUUAUUCGAUGGAAACUAAUCACAGGAUGGGAAAGAGGAGGUUGUGAUGGUUUGAUGGUGUAAAUUUGGGGAGGUUUGGUGACCAGCCGCCACCGUGAGGCAAUUUCCGGCGGCGGCGUUAGGGUGGUAGACGGGUGGUCAAGGGGUGGUCAAGGGGUGGUCAAGGGUGGUGUUACGUCAGAGGUGCACUGUACGAGGAAGAAGAUAAGUUUGUCUCUAAUUCUAUAGAGACGUUUGGACAUAUAUAUCCAAAAAUUGGGCAGGAUUCAGGAUCGUUGGAUGUUUAACUGAUCGACGACUGUGAUGGCCCUAUCUCUAAGCUACAUCGUUUGUGGGGGUGCAUGGUGUGGACUGGAGCAGGGUUUGAUGUUUUAGGCUGGGUCUGUGGGUUUUAGGGGUUAAAUUUUUUGGGCCACUCUGGUCUGGCUCAAUUGUGGCCAGCCUGAGUGGCUGUGAAUAUAUGUAUACAUUUUUUUUUCUUUUGUUUUUUAUUAAUUUUUAAUUUUAUUUAAAAACCAAAAAUUCCUAAUUAACACAAAAAUGCAACAAGAUGAAACAAAAAAUAAUUAAAGAAUGCCAAAAUACUAAUUACACAUAUUUUUGUAUUUUCUAUUUGCAAAAUGACCCUAAUUAACAACUAUUCUAGCAAAAACGUGAAAUUCUAAACGAUUUUAAGCAUGCAUUAAUGAAAACAUGAUGGCACGUAAUCAAAUUCUAAAAUUAAAACCCUAAAAUAAAUAUUCAAAGAAAAAUCCUAAACAUCGAAAGUUCUAUAGGAGCCAUUUUAACAGGGUAAAAAUCAUAUGCUCCCAAUUUCUACUUAGCUUAAUUAGAAGCAUUGUAUAGAAAAUCUUUACCAAAUCAUACACCGUUUGUAACAUGCACGUUGGCAUUUGCUUCGACGAGGAAGACUUGGAAUAUUGUGAAACACAAGGAGCAUCCACGUUCUACUAUAUGCUUUCUAGAUCCAACUAUACGCACUAAAUUCUGACCGUAUAUUUUUUCAGUUGUUAAUGAUUUGACAUGAAAGUUCUAACUUGUAGGUAUUCUUUUAUAUUGUUAAAAUUCAAUUUUUUGACACGCUAACUCCAGCUUAUAGGUGUUUUACAUGUAUGGUCUGAAUCUCUAGUUAUUAUUUUCAACUCUAAUUUAAUCUACAUCUUAACAUUAGUCUGCCAUUUCGUCAAGUUGUCUCGUGUAACAGAUUUAUUGACAAGUAUUAUAGCAGGAUAGGGGGAGUAUAAAUUGUAUCGACAAUUCCUAUCAAGGAAUUGUCAAUAUAUUCUGUAGCUGACUAUAAAUAAAAUACAAAACUUGAUGGAAAAAAAAAACAAUAUUUUAUUCUAAAUGAUUUGUUAGCUUUAAUGCGUAAAAUUUUAAGACUUGGUGAAUUUGUCACUUCAGUAAAGUAGAACAGAUAUCUCUUGUGAAACUGUUUGGAUAUAAACUAAAAAUAAAAGGAUAAAUUUUCAAAAAGUUAAAAUAUUAUCUUGCAUAAAUUAAGUCUUGAAAAGGUAGUGCCAAAAGUAAUCUCGAAAUUUUAACUCUUUUCUCUUUCGGCGCAUGCUAACGUGAACUAACUAACGUGCGCUUGGAAGCUAUGAAAGAAAUAGGUGGGCCAAAGAAAAAUCAGCAGAAAAACGUAGUUGAUGAACAACGAUCAACAGCGACGAGAAAAGCAGUAUUAGAAUUAUUUGUAUCACCUAAGGGAGUUCGAAUUGAAUAUCAAGCUGAAAAUCUCACUCUGAGGAGCAUGAAGAGUGAGAUAAGAAAAGAGAAAGCAGGUCCAUAGCAGAAUAAGGACAAAUUGAAGACAAUUACAGUUGCACUUAUAGCUACUCAAGCAAUUGGAAGUGGAUCUGAGAGUGGGAAAACUCAAAAGCAAGCCAGGAACAACACCAACAAUGGAACAGUACCAUGCAACUAUGGUAUAAUUAAAAGCAGCAAAAAAGAUAAAUCAAAGGCUGUCAAACAGGAUCAGCCAUGAGCAAAUGUGGUAGCAUGGAAUAAACUAGCCAUGAAGGGUAUGAAUAUGUAGUUUAUGGAUCCGAUCGUACAAAACAAUGAUUAAAUUAUAAAAUUAGAAGCGGAGGAUGUCGAGCAGGGAAAUAGUAAAUAGAGAUCUGCGAUUAUUCUAUAUGUGAUAGGGGAUUCACAUACCAUUGGAUUUAUGGAGAGAUUUCUAAGCUCAUUAGUCAAGAAAUCUGGAGGAAAGGGACCAAGUUGUAUACUCUUUGUCACACAUUCUUUUUAUGCACCCCAAAGGUGGUAUAAGGAAGUUUUUCCAAUUUAAGUGACAUUAUUUGAGAUGAGAUUAUUUAUUCAAUUUGUUAAGAGUCGCCACUUGGGAUACGUUAGUUUCUGGUGUCCCAAGUCACUGGUUUAUUUUAAAAUCCCAAAUCGAGGAAAACUCGACUUUCCUUGUGAAGUUUGCGAACCAGAUAUUCUAAAUAAGGAAUUCUAUUAACCCGAGGAAAGGUGUUAGGCACCCCCGGAUUCCGUAGUUCUAGCAUGGUCGCUUAAACUAUCAUAAUUAGCCUAUGAUAUGAUUUUAAUACAUGCUUUAGCCUAGGGUACAAUUUUAACUUUAUAACCGCUUUUAUUCAUUUUUAAGAAAAUUUAACGUCGUCUAAAACAUAUCUUUGGACUGCGCCACAUAAAAUGCACCCGCAUUAUUAAUAAUUAGUGUUGGGCCACAUGAAAUGCACACCCGGGUUUAGGGGAUUAAUUUGUAAAACAGCGCGCCUAAAAGCAACUACGCACUUUCAAGUUUGCGAAGGCCAUGAAAAAUUCAACUAAUGUCACUACUCGAUUUCUAAAGAGUUCAAAUGAGGGCCAUAUGUUAUGAAUUUUGUUUGGCAUGGCAGCCUCAAAUUAUUUCAAAAAAAAGAUUGGAUUCAACUAAAUCAAGCCACAAUGUUCACAAUUUGAGAUUGUUAUUUUUUCUAAAAAUCUGCAACAAUAAUAAUGUAAUAGAGGUUCGUUUUCCAGCAUCCAAGACCGAAAAAAAAAACGUUUCUUCUUUUGCCACUAAAGUAAAUAACACAUCUGAAUACAUUUUCUUUAUAUUCUCAUGACAUUUCUCAAAGGUAUCAUUACCAUCUUAAAGAAUUCCAAGCAUAUAAUCAAGAAUAAGUAACCAGCUAGUUUUGAUGCAUGAUCUUAUUGUAAUUAAUUCUCAAUCAGAAACUGAUCAAUGAAGAGGUUGGCUUAGCAUACUCCUAUUAAAGGAACUCUAAUUAGAAGCUGUAAUUCUCUUAAAUCUUCAAUUGAUACUAAAAUGACACAACUGACUCAUGCGUUGUUGAGCUUCACUCAAAUUGCCAAUUUCCAACCCAUUCAACCAAAGAUAAAAAACCAUAGAAGUGUAAAUUUUGAUCUUCACAUUCCAAACAAUAUCACGGCAGUUCAAAAAUCAACAUCACUGCUUUGUGCUCAAAAUCUCAACAUCGUAAAAAAGGAAAAGAAAAAUAGCAUGGUACAUACUUUAAUUUUAACAUAACUUAAAAUACACCAAGACUAGGGAAACUCAUAUAUGCUUCUUCAAAGUUAGCGACGCUACUUUAACUGUGCUAAGCAUUUUGAGGAACGGAGGAAACAAAGUCACGAUAAUUCCGGGUAGCAAAAAUGUAAACAAUCUCAUCCAAUCUUUAAAAGAUAAGCGGCCAUAAACAGAUAUAACAAGGUAAAUACAAUGAGCAUACAAAACUAAACAUGGACAACAAAAUGAAUAGUUCAAAUUUCAUUUUCCUAGUUUAAAAGAAUUACAGAAAAGUCUUGACAUACCUAGCAGCAAAACGGAAACAAAUUUCAUGAAGACGAGGCAAAUGUUGAAAUCUUUCAAGGUGAAGCCCAGCAGACUAUGUUUAGCCGGAGCAGCAACGACAAUCACAAAGCUGAACUCUAUAGCUUAUAUAAAUCAAAAAAGAGUUUGAGCUUUGAAAUCAGUUUUUUCGGCAAACUUCUUCUUGAAAUUCCAAGUUUCCUUUAUAUUUUUCAGCUUUUAGUGAGAGAGCAGGUGGACGAAACAUAUAUCCAAACAACUUGAAGUUGAAAUCGAACCGCUUGACCGUGUCGAUCCUCUGCUUUUUGAGCGAGAGGUCAAGAGCAUGAAUAGAGAAAAAUGAAGUUUCUUUAGAGAGGAGCCUUUGAUUUUUGUUUCCCUUUUAGGUGUAAUUUUUGAGAGAUUAGAUAUAUUUGUUCUCAAGAAAAGGGGGAGCUCCAUUUUCUGUUUGUUCUUAAGAGGAGGGGGGCCGCCGUUUUCUCGUGAAUCUGAAG
rnacentral:lncRNA from 1 species